rnacentral:rRNA from 1 species
AUUGAACGCUGGCGGCAUGCCUUACACAUGCAAGUCGAACGGCAGCACGGGUGCUUGCACCUGGUGGCGAGUGGCGAACGGGUGAGUAAUACAUCGGAACAUGUCCUGUAGUGGGGGAUAGCCCGGCGAAAGCCGGAUUAAUACCGCAUACGAUCUACGGAUGAAAGCGGGGGACCUUCGGGCCUCGCGCUAUAGGGUUGGCCGAUGGCUGAUUAGCUAGUUGGUGGGGUAAAGGCCUACCAAGGCGACGAUCAGUAGCUGGUCUGAGAGGACGACCAGCCACACUGGGACUGAGACACGGCCCAGACUCCUACGGGAGGCAGCAAUGGGGAAUUUUGGACAAUGGGCGAAAGCCUGAUCCAGCAAUGCCGCGUGUGUGAAGAAGGCCUUCGGGUUGUAAAGCACUUUUGUCCGGAAAGAAAUCCUUGGCCCUAAUACGGUCGGGGGAUGACGGUACCGGAAGAAUAAGCACCGGCUAACUACGUG